ACGGAGGGGGCUAGCGUUGUUCGGAAUUACUGGGCGUAAAGCGCACGUAGGCGGACUGGAAAGUCAGGGGUGAAAUCCCGGGGCUCAACCCCGGAACUGCCUUUGAAACUCCCAGUCUUGAGGUCGAGAGAGGUGGGUGGAAUUCCGAGUGUAGAGGUGAAAUUCGUAGAUAUUCGGAGGAACACCAGUGGCGAAGGCGGCCCACUGGCUCGAUACUGACGCUGAGGUGCGAAAGCGUGGGGAGCAAACAG
rnacentral:rRNA from 1 species